AAGAGUUGCAAAACUCCCACAAACCAUCGCGAACGUUACCCAGACGUCGUUGCUUCGGCGGGCUCGCCCGCCGGGGGGACGCUACCAGACUCUUGCAGUCCUUCGGCCUCUCUGAGUACGAUUUUUAAAUAAGUCA
rnacentral:misc_RNA from 1 species